rnacentral:lncRNA from 1 species
GUCUCUUUUAUGCUGCUUUUCGAUUUCCAAAUUCAAAGGUACAAGAUGUUCCUUUCCUUUGGAUCUCGUGAUCAUACACUCCUGAGACAACAAACAAAAAUCAGAAACAGAAACUAAAAACUAAAAAAANAAACUUAUAACGCCUGAAAUAAUGCUUAAGUCUAGUCAGAAAUAUUAAAGUAAAUUCUAAAUAGUCCCCGGCAACGGCGCCAAAAAGUUGAUCGCUAAUUUCUUAACAACAAUAACUGGAACUAAACAGUGUAAUUGUAGCACAGAAAUAGCAAGUCGAGUAUCGUAUCCACAUGGACUAUUAUAACGAAUCACCUUAAGUAAUCCUAAC